GGGCGAUUAACUCAGUGGUAGAGUAUCUGCCUUACAAGCAGAGAGUCACUGGUUCAAGUCCAGUAUCGCCCA
rnacentral:tRNA from 2 species